UUAUCUUGAUAAUGAAUUAUGUUGAAUAAUUCCAUGAUUAUGUGGAUAUGGCUCUGCUAUUCAGAAUUAGACAAACUAUUUCAACAGAGGAAGCACUUUGAGAUUCAACUCAAGUCUUAAACACUCAAAUAACUCUUGUUUAUUUCAUAUGGGCAAAGACCCUAUAUAUAGGCUCGAAAGAGCCGGUUACAAUUAUUGUUGGAAUCGUAUGAUUGAAAUACGACAAACAUAUAUUUACAUUUUUGACCCCUAGACUAUAGAGGGUCUUAUAUUUUAUGGUACAUCCUACCGACACUACAUUAUUUCAGACAAUAAUUAUACAACGACAAAUAACAAAUAAUUACAAUCUCUUCCACACUGAAAGGACAAGUGUCAUUAUUAGUCUAGGGGUCUAAAAUGUAAAUACAUGUUUGUCGUAUUGCAAUAAUAUGAUUGCAACAAUAAUUGUAACCUGCUCCUUCAAGCCUAUAUAUAGGGCCUUUGCCCAUAAGAAAUAAAGAAGAGUUAUUUGAGUGUUUAAGACUUGAGUUGAAUCUCAAAAUUCUUCUUCUGUUGAAAUAGUUUGUCUAUUUCUGAAUAGCAGAGCCCUAUCCAAACUAUCCACAUAAUCAUCCAAUUAUUCAACAUAAUUCAUCAUCAAUAUAAUCCAACGCAUCAUUCAGAUUAUUGUCGUGGACGUUUAAUCCGUUGACAAUUACAAUUACAUCAGUUUCAUCCAUACCUCAAGUAUAUCAAAAGCACCAACAAUCAUAUAGCAGACACAUUAACCAGAGAAUACAAGCCAUCAUGAAACAACUCAGAUAAGGAAAAAACACUAUUCAUGGAAGACUAACGUCAGGCAUGACCGAAGCACACAUCAUUCAGAAAAAUUUGUCCUUUCGGUGGCGGGAGGAAUGACGCAAGCAAUGAUGUAAAAAAUCAUUAUUGAAGACACUUGUCCUUUUAGUGUAGAAGGGAUUGUAAUUAUUUGUUAUUUGUCGUUAUAUAAUUAUUGUCUGUAUACGCAAUAAUGUAGUGUCGGUAGGAUGUAACAUAAAGUGUAAGACCCUCCAUAGUCUAGGGGUCUAAAAUGUAAAUAUAUGUUUGUCGUAUUGCAAUCAUACGAUUGCAACCAUAAUUGUAACCGACUCUUUCGAGCC